CCGCGAUUCGCCCUUCGGGGUGCACCAGGCGCGAAAACUUUACAAUGCUGGAAACUGCGAUAAGGGGACCUCGAGUGCCAUGAUACAAUCUUGGCUGUCACGAUGCCUAAAAAGCUUUGCAAAUCAGGGGACGGGCAAUACCGGUGCCACCCGCCGCGGUAUCACCGGUCGCUCAAGGGGUAACCUCUUUUAUGGGGUCUAAAGGGUCUGUACCCGGUCGGAUAAUUCUUUUGGGAAAUCCACCUGCUCAACAUUUGAGCUUUCAGAAUAUACUGUUCGGCUCGAAACCGGGAGAGGUGAAGAGGUACUUCAGGGGUAGGGGUGAAAUCUUGUAAUCCUUGAAGGACCACCAGUGGCAAAGGCGUCUCACCAAAACGGAACUAACGGCAAGGAUACAAAAGCUAGGGACACAAACCGAAUUAAAUACCCGGGUAGUCCUAGCCGUAAACAAUACUCGCUAGGUGUCAGCCACGGUGCGACCGUGGUUGGUGCCGUAGGGAACCCUUGAAGCGAGCCACCUGGGAAUUACAGCCGCAAGGCUGAAACUUAAAGGAAUUGGCGGGGAAGCAC
rnacentral:rRNA from 1 species